rnacentral:tRNA from 1 species
GGCUUUAUAUUCAAUUAUGAUGUUAAAUUGCAAAUUUAAAGGUGUAUAAAUACUAAGGCUU